rnacentral:rRNA from 1 species
UACGUAGGGGGCUAGCGUUGUCCGGAAUCAUUGGGCGUAAAGCGCGUGUAGGCGGUCCGGUAAGUCCGCUGUGAAAGCCAGGGGCUCAACCCUUGGAUGCCGGUGGAUACUGUCGGGCUUGAGUACGGAAGAGGCGAGUGGAAUUCCUGGUGUAGCGGUGAAAUGCGCAGAUAUCAGGAGGAACACCAAUUGCGAAGGCAGCUCGCUGGACGGUACUGACGCUGGAGACGACGA